rnacentral:rRNA from 1 species
AACGAACGCUGGCGGCAGGCCUAACACAUGCAAGUCGAACGCUCCCUUCGGGGAGAGUGGCAGACGGGUGAGUAACGCGUGGGAACCUACCUAGUGGUACGGAAUAGCCCAGGGAAACUUGGGAUAAUACCGUAUACGCCCUAAGGGGGAAAGAUUUAUCGCCAUUAGAUGGGCCCGCGUUGGAUUAGCUUGUUGGUGGGUAACGGCCCACCAAGGCGACGAUCCAUAGCUGGUCUGAGAGGAUGAUCAGCCACACUGGGACUGAGACACGGCCCAGACUCCUACGGGAGGCAGCAGUGGGGAAUAUUGGACAAUGGGGGCAACCCUGAUCCAGCCAUGCCGCGUGAGUGACGAAGGUCUUCGGAUUGUAAAACUCUUUUAGCAGGGACGAUAAUGACGGUACCUGCAGAAUAAGCCCCGGCUAACUUCGUG